rnacentral:rRNA from 1 species
UCCGUAGGUGAACCUGCGGAGGGAUCAUUACUGAGUGAGGGCUUCGGUCCGACCUCCAACCCUUUGUGAACCAAACUUGUUGCUUCGGGGGCGACCCUGCCGCUUCGGCGGUGCGGCGCCCCCGGAGGCCAUUAAACACUGCAUCAUUGCGUCGGAGUUAAAGUAAAUUAAACAAAACUUUCAACAACGGAUCUCUUGGUUCCAGCAUCGAUGAAGAACGCAGCGAAAUGCGAUAAGUAAUGUGAAUUGCAGAAUUCAGUGAAUCAUCGAAUCUUUGAACGCACAUUGCGCCCCCUGGUAUUCCGGGGGGCAUGCCUGUUCGAGCGUCAUUUCACCACUCAAGCCUGGCUUGGUAUUGGGCGUCGCGGCUCCGCGCGCCUUAAAGUCUUCCGGCUGAGCUGUCCGUCUCUAAGCGUUGUGGCAACUAUUCGCUUCGGAGGUCGGGUGGCCGCGGCCGUUAAAUCUUUCACAAGGUUGACCUCGGAUCAGGUAGGGAUA